rnacentral:misc_RNA from 1 species
GAUGAAGAACGUAGCGAAAUGCGAUAAGUAAUGUGAAUUGCAGAAUUCAGUGAAUCAUCGAAUCUUUGAACGCACAUUGCGCCCGUUAGCAUUCUAGCGGGCAUGCCUGUCCGAGCGUCAUUUCAACCCUCAGGGUCCCCGUUCCGGCGGGGAACCUGGUGUUGGGGAUCGGCCCGCCCCGUGCGGCGCCGUCCCCCAAAUUCAGUGGCGGUCUCGCUGCAGCCUCCCCUGCGUAGUAGUUACAACCUCGCAUCGGAGCUCAGCGCGGCCACGCCGUAAAACCCCCGACUUUCUGAACGUUGACCUCGGAUCAGGUAGGAAUACCCGCUGAACUUAAGCAUAUCAAUAAGCGCGGA